rnacentral:rRNA from 1 species
CCUACGGGUGGCAGCAGUGGGGAAUAUUGCACAAUGGGGGAAACCCUGAUCCAGCGAAGCCGCGUGAGUGAAGAAGUAAUUCGUUAUGUAAAGCCCUAUCAGCCGGGAAGAAAAUGACGGUACCUGAGUAAGAAGCCCCGGCUAACUACGAGCCAGCAGCCGCGGUAAUACGUAGGGGGCAAGCGUUAUCCGGAUUUACUGGGUGUAAAGGGGGCGUAGACGGCAGUGCAAGGCUGGAGUGAAAGGCGGGGGCUCAACCCCCGGACUGCUGUGGAAACUGUAAGGAUGGAGUGCAGGAGAGGUAAGCGGAAUGAGUAGUGUAGAGGUGAAAUGAGUAGAUAUCAGGAGGAAAAAA